CUUGAUCUCUGCGGUAACCUCCGUCAUGUCGAUAAGUGGGUGCUCGAAGUGAUGUGACAUGGCCGUACGGCCAUUGCAUUACAGCGUCCCUCAUCGGUAUGUCUACCGACGAUCUUGCAAAUGAGUCGGGUUUUUGGCAUCCUUAUAGCAGGAAAUCUGAAUCUGCUAGGCGGUAACUGUGAUAUUUUAUCUAGAAGCAUAAGCAUUCAAAGUAAAAGAAGCAUUUUGCCAGGUGCGAGAGGGCAGGCACAGAUGAAAGCGUGUUAAAAAAGGGUGAAAAGGAUUAGCCAACUCAAAGAGAGGAGAAAGAUACAUCGUCAGAAAGCAGUGCAGCGAGUAGAGCAACUUUAUACUGGCAGGAUAAAAGGAUAUGUAUAAACCAUCGCAAGCAUACGGUCAAUUUUGACAUCCCCACAAUUUAUUCGAAUUUUGGUUACUGUACCUACAUAACCCCAGCAACCUUUCCACAGACAUUUUCGUUCCUCAUGAAGUUCUCAAAAUCGUAAUGCUAGCCCAUUCCCAACGCUCCUUGUUUCUCUUCCGGCUCCGCCUCUCUUCCAUCCUUUCGCAGAUGAUUGUUUUGAUGAGUCAGAAGCGGUAGACAUGGCAAGAGAAGACAAUGGAAUAAGAUCAGGCGUUUGACUCUUCGAAAAAGAACGAACCAAGUAUAGGGGCAGCAAGCGAGAUACACCCUUGUUACAUCAGCGACUGUGGGAUGCAAGAGAAUUAAAAUCGUU
rnacentral:sRNA from 1 species